GACGAACGCUGGCGGCGUGCUUAACACAUGCAAGUCGAACGGAAAGGCUCCAGCUUGCUGGAGUACUCGAGUGGCGAACGGGUGAGUAACACGUGGGUAAUCUGCCCUGCACUCUGGGAUAAGCCUGGGAAACUGGGUCUAAUACUGGAUAUGACCUUUCUCCUUAUGGGGUUUGGUGGAAAGUUUUUCGGUGUAGGAUGAGCCCGCGGCCUAUCAGCUUGUUGGUGGGGUGAUGGCCUACCAAGGCGACGACGGGUAGCCGGCCUGAGAGGGUGAUCGGCCACAUUGGGACUGAGAUACGGCCCAGACUCCUACGGGAGGCAGCAGUCGGGAAUAUUGCACAAUGGGCGGAAGCCUGAUGCAGCGACGCCGCGUGAGGGAUGACGGCCUUAGGGUUGUAAACCUCUUUCAGCAGGGACGAAGCGUAAGUGACGGUACCUGCAGAAGAAGCACCGGCUAACUAUGUGC
rnacentral:rRNA from 1 species